GACCCGCACAAGCGGUGGAGCAUGUGGUUUAAUUCGAAGCAACGCGAAGAACCUUACCAAAUCUUGACAUCCUUUGACAACUCUAGAGAUAGAGCCUUCCCCUUCGGGGGACAAAGUGACAGGUGGUGCAUGGUUGUCGUCAGCUCGUGUCGUGAGAUGUUGGGUUAAGUCCCGCAACGAGCGCAACCCUUAAGCUUAGUUGCCAUCAUUAAGUUGGGCACUCUAAGUUGACUGCCGGUGACAAACCGGAGGAAGGUGGGGAUGACGUCAAAUCAUCAUGCCCCUUAUGAUUUGGGCUACACACGUGCUACAAUGGACAAUACAAAGGGCAGCGAAACCGCGAGGUCAAGCAAAUCCCAUAAAGUUGUUCUCAGUUCGGAUUGUAGUCUGCAACUCGACUACAUGAAGCUGGAAUCGCUAGUAAUCGUAGAUCAGCAUGCUACGGUGAAUACGUUCCCGGGUCUUGUACACACCGCCCGUCACACCACGAGAGUUUGUAACACCCGAAGCCGGUGGAGUAACCUUUUAGGAGCUAGCCGUCGAAGGUGGGACAAAUGAUUGGGGUGAAGUCGUAACAAGGUAGCCGUAUCGGAAGGUGCGGCUGGAUCACCUCCUUUCUAAGGA
rnacentral:rRNA from 1 species